rnacentral:rRNA from 1 species
GAUGAACGCUAGCUACAGGCUUAACACAUGCAAGUCGAGGGGCAUCAGGAAGAAAGCUUGCUUUCUUUGCUGGCGACCGGCGCACGGGUGAGUAACACGUAUCCAACCUGCCCUUUACUCGGGGAUAGCCUUUCGAAAGAAAGAUUAAUACCCGAUAGCAUAAUGAUUCCGCAUGGUUUCAUUAUUAAAGGAUUCCGGUAAAGGAUGGGGAUGCGUUCCAUUAGGUUGUUGGUGAGGUAACGGCCCACCAAGCCUUCGAUGGAUAGGGGUUCUGAGAGGAAGGUCCCCCACAUUGGAACUGAGACACGGUCCAAACUCCUACGGGAGGCAGCAGUGAGGAAUAUUGGUCAAUGGGCGUUAGCCUGAACCAGCCAAGUAGCGUGAAGGAUGAAGGCUCUAUGGGUCGUAAACUUCUUUUAUAUGAGAAUAAAGUGCAGUAUGUAUACUGUUUUGUAUGUAUUAUAUGAAUAAGGAUCGGCUAACUCCGUGCCAGCAGCCGCGGUAAUACGGAGGAUCCGAGCGUUAUCCGGAUUUAUUGGGUUUAAAGGGAGCGUAGGUGGACUGGUAAGUCAGUUGUGAAAGUUUGCGGCUCAACCGUAAAAUUGCAGUUGAUACUGUCAGUCUUGAGUACAGUAGAGGUGGGCGGAAUUCGUGGUGUAGCGGUGAAAUGCUUAGAUAUCACGAAGAACUCCGAUUGCGAAGGCAGCUCACUGGACUGCAACUGACACUGAUGCUCGAAAGUGUGGGUAUCAAACAGG